rnacentral:rRNA from 1 species
UGAAUUUAAGCAUAUAAGUAAGCGGAGGACGAGAAACUAAACAGGAUUCCCACAGUAAUGGCGAAUGAACGUGGAGGAGCUCAACAUGAGAAUUGUGGCCUUCGGCCUUGAAUUGUAAUCUCAAGAUGUACUGCCAACGGAGGCGCAGGCGUAAGCCUCUUGGAAAAGAGCAUCGUUGAGGGUGAGGAUCCUGUUCGUCUCCUGCAGACCUCCGUGUACGGCGUACUUUCAAAGAGUCACGUUCCUUGGGAUUGGAGCGCAAAUCGGGUGGUAAAUUUCAUCUAAAGCUAAAUAUGGGUUCGAGACCGAUAGCAAACAAGUACCAUGAGGGAAAGAUGAAAAGGACUUUGAAAAGAGAGUUAAAAGUGCCUGAACUCGCUGUAAGGAAAGCGGAUGGAACCAGUCUUGCUUGGCAAGAUUGUCGCGCCGUUGCGCGGGGCUGAAGGGGACAGGUUGAACUUGAAAUUCCUUGUACCUGGAAGUGCACGCGUGCCGCGAUGUUUCUUGCCUUGCUUGUCACAAGCGGUUUGCGAUUGAAGACGACCUCUCGGGACAUGGAAGCUCGCCCCAGGGUGUGCGAACGUGCCUUGCAGAACUUAGUCGUAGACUGGCGCUCUGCCCAAGCUGCGGGCCGUAGCCAGCGCAGGUGGUGUGAAAACAGCUUGCGUUGCCCUUUGUUACAAGGGGCGCUGGUUUACGCCCGACUAUUGGUGCACUUGCUUUUGUGACUGAAUGGUUCUAUUCGACCCGUCUUGAAACACGG